AUAUCUACUUUAAUAUCUCAACCUACUGAAGCACAAAGAGUCAAUAACGCCUCCAACAAAGGCUCGAACUCACAACAUCUCAUAUGGGAGUCCAACUCGGGUGCCAUCUGUGC